rnacentral:misc_RNA from 1 species
AACGCAUAUUGCGCCCGAGGCUUCGGCCAAGGGCAUGUCUGCCUCAGCGUCGGGUUAAUACUCGCCCUCCCUUCACUGGGUUGGAGCGGACCUGGUCGUCCCAGAGGGCUUAAUCCCCCCCUGGGUCGGCUGAAGAGUAGAGGCUGAUGCAUGGACCCGUUAUGGGCCUCGACUAGGUAGGCAACUCGCUUUGCUAAUCUCCAGUUGAUGGCUUGGAUCCGUGCCCGUCGGCCCGAACCAGGAAUUGAGCCUCGCGCUCAACACUCUCAUUUCCUCGACCUGAGCUCAGGCAAGAUUACCCGCUGAACUUAA